GUUUAACUGAAUAUUUCCGGUAUUUGGAAGCAACUCCAAAUAAUAGGAAUGUGAUAGAAGGAGAAGCGGUCUUGAAUGCCGGUCAUGUAAUUAUGUGUGGGAAUAUAGGUAAAAGUACACGCUGCUUGGAAUUGUUCGGCUUAUGCUUGCAGACUUCAGCCUUUCAGCAGAUCCUCAUGAAAUAAGAGGAAAAAUAAUAACAAGUAAAGAAACUGCAACAAUAUCAGCUUUCAGCUGUUCUUGUAAGGGUGGAUUAGGAGGCAGAUGUAAACAUAUAUCAGCUCUACUCUUACAUUGCACCAGGUUGUAUAAUUUUUGAUUUAUUUUAUGUCUGAAUCGGGACUUGCAAUUGAACAAUAAUAUAGACACAAUAUAAUUGUUGGUUUUUUGCUUUUCCUUUGGUUUUUAUCAUUUCAGAACUGACCUCCUCAAAUUGAAAAAUAUUUCAAGCACGGAUAUCAAAUGCUGGUGGAAAAACAAAAAAAAAGAGACUGGAAAUAAAUAUAAAGCACUACCUUUUCUAAAGAUACCCUGCCUUAAGGACAAAGUCCCAAAAAGACCCUUGAUAACAUCUCAAGAUGAGGAAGAAAUAAGAAAUAAUAAUUACGAACUGAAAAAAAAACAUAAAUACUAUGGACAGGUGCAGCUGGGAGUGGCAAUCCUAAAUUUAAACAUUUGUCACUUUAUUAUUUAUUUUUCAAGCAAUAAUUCAUUCAUUGAAAUUAAGGUGCCCUUUGAUGAAGAAUACACAUUUAAUAUGUUAACUUCUUUGAAAAAAAAAUAUAUUGAGAAAAUGUUACACCAUAUUUGUAAUGAAUAAUUGAAAAAUUAAUAUAUUUCUUGAAAUCAAAUUACAGUUAUUCUAUUUCCA